rnacentral:rRNA from 1 species
UGGGGAAUAUUGGACAAUGGGGGCAACCCUGAUCCAGCAAUGCCGCGUGUGUGAAGAAGGCCUGCGGGUUGUAAAGCACUUUCAGUAGAGAAGAAAAGCCUAGGGUUAAUACCCCUGAGUCUUGACGUUACCUACAGAAGAAGCACCGGCUAACUCCGUGCCAGCAGCCGCGGUAAUACGGAGGGUGCAAGCGUUAAUCGGAAUUACUGGGCGUAAGGCGCGCGUAGGCGGCUUAGUAAGUCGGAUGUGAAAGCCCCGGGCUUAACCUGGGAAUUGCAUUCGAUACUGCUGAGCUAGAGUAUGGUAGAGGGAAGUGGAAUUUCCGGUGUAGCGGUGAAAUGCGUAGAUAUCGGAAGGAACACCAGUGGCGAAGGCGGCGACCUGGUCCGGUACUGACGCUGAGGCGCGAAAGCGUGGGGAGCAAACAGG